GAUGAACGCUGGCGGCGUGCCUAAUACAUGCAAGUCGAGCGAACAGACGAGGAGCUUGCUCCUCUGACGUUAGCGGCGGACGGGUGAGUAACACGUGGAUAACCUACCUAUAUGACUGGGAUAACUUCGGGAAACCGGAGCUAAUACCGGAUAAUAUAUUGAACCGCAUUGUUCAAUAGUGAAAGACGGUUUUGCUGUCACUUAUAGAUGGAUCCGCGCCGCAUUAGCUAGUUGGUAAGGUAACGGCUUACCAAGGCAACGAUGCGUAGCCGACCUGAGAGGGUGGUCGGCCACACUGGAACUGAGACACGGUCCAGACUCCUACGGGAGGCAGCAGUAGGGAAUCUUCCGCAAUGGGCGAAAGCCUGACGGAGCAACGCCGAGUGAGUGAUGAAGGUCUUCGGAUCGUAAAACUCUGUUAUUAGGGAAGAACACAUGUGUAAGUAACUAUGCACGUCUUGACGGUACCUGAUCAGAAAGCCACGGCUAACUACGUG
rnacentral:rRNA from 1 species